CAAAAAGCGUUCUCUCGUCGAAAGAGUAUAACGGCUGCUCGGGGCCCGCCUCUGGAAAUGGUAAUAUCCAGAUCGCGGGCGCGCAUCAUGCCUUUUUUUCCUCCCGAUUUUCGAUAGAAAUAACAGCAGCCUGAUUGGCCCUUUAACGCUUACGUCCACCGUGGAUACGCGCGAGUACGCGUUCCACCUUUCGAAGGAAACCGGUUCGAAGAAAUCUGAACGUUGCAACUUCUGCUCUUUCUUCGUGGCCUUGAAAGAGCUACGCUUGUUCGCGGUCUAGUUCACCAGAUACCCUUUCAUGACGAACACUUUCCAUUGUGUAACGAAUUUUUUCUUCAUCUUCUCCCUCUGUAUUUUUCCUCGUGGAUCGCUCUCCUCGCGGUUCUUCUCUUUUUCAUCGUUCGUUCUUGCUUAAAAACCGAUUCUUAUUCUCCGCUGUAAAGUCGAUUCUUUCCUCUCGCGUCUAGCGCCGAGCAAUCUCAGUGACGCUCGAUCGCGGAACGAUCUGCAUUGUUACUUUCUAGGAGAAAUUAAUUCGCGCAUAAACAGCGUAAUCUCUGCCAGAUGAAAAUGGGGAAAAAGUGUGUCGGAUAACGCGCAUACCACCGUUCGAAUAUUCAUGAAUCCCGAUACACUUUGAUAAUACACGAGCCAUCUGGUAUUCAAUGACAGACAAUAUCGUUACUUUUUAAUUGACUCUCGAAAUAUAUUCAACGAAAUUAAUCGUAAGGAACGAGGCAUGAACGCGAUGGAACGUUCGCUACCGUUUCCAUGUACGAUGAUAGAGGAUCGUCAGAUGGAACGACAUGUUUCGUGGCUGGACACACGUUUCUCUUCAAACUUCUAUCAAAUGAUGUUACGUAAACAGGGAGUGGUGUUUAGGCAAUCCGUAGAACGGUACCGAAGCGUGCAUCCUUAAUGCUCGUCCCCUUGCUUGUCUCGUUUUGGAAAAGAACGGAAGUACUUUCACUGGCUACGAGGUCGGAAAGUUGAGCAUUUCAAUAGCCACGAGACAUUGCCAAUUCGCAACGAGAGAUCUCACUUUUCUCUCUUGGUCCUUUUGCCGUCCAUCCACGAACUCUUUUUUCGUCCCAGACUUUGAAUAAUGUUCGAAUACUGUCAUAUCAUGAGUAGCACUUAUUGCAAAACUCGUGAAAGUUCAUCUUCGUUAGAUCAAAAGGAAUUUCAGUACUUUAAUAGCUUUAGAACAUUUUUCCUAUGUUUCAUACAUGUUUUAAACGAUACCGUGUAAUUGCAUGAGAAACUAGAUCUGAUUGAUCGAAUUACUUUCAAUCGUAGAAAUCCGAUUAUUUCGUUGCAUGGUCGUAUGUCAUUAAAUGAUAAUCGAAUCCUGUUAAACGUCAUUAGUGCUGAAUUUCUGUCCAUUAAUUUGCCAUACGUGGAAACUGAAAUCACUACUAAAGUCGCGAGAACGACCAGCGAUUUAUUCAUCGGUAAUAACUACUUCGCUCAACCAUUAAAAUCGCUAGUUUCAUUUACCUAUCUUACCUUGUGUACGUUUUACUCGGUGAGUAGGCUGGUGAUACGGGCUUUCUUUCAAAAGCCGAUCCAGUCCUUCUCACUUUCACUUAAUUUUUCCAAUGACCAUCGCAUGCGUAUUGUAUUACAAGUCCCAACGCAUCGAAUUCAAUGAGAGUUUCUAGUUAUUUUUAACCGCUUACUAUUCCUUUUUUAUCCUCUACUUUGCGCAGAAGUUAGUAUCUUUCACCUUUCUGUACCUUCAAUAUCUUCUUUAGAAAUCUCGAAGGAGUUGAAAAAAUAAGCUCUUGGUCUUAAAAAUUGAACUAAAAACUUUAUCGAGAUUUUUAAUCAUCGUCUCUAACAGGACUCCGGGACACCUUUUUUACUUACCGAUCUGUCAAACCAAAUCAAUCUCGUUCUUGUAAUCUUCUUCCCCUAAGUUUUAGUCUUCUGUUUCCCUUCCACCGUCCAAAAGGCGAUUACUCAAAAGAAACUCCCGCCAACUUCGCCGCCGUCUCUUCUUCUUCCUCUUUUUCUUCCACGUCGAUCCUGAACAGUCCUCACCACCAUAACACAACGGUUCUCACUGAUAUAUCGCGUCACCUUCGAUCCACGAUCUAUCUAUCGCGACUUUUACAUCGAAUUAACCCAGCUAUGUACCAACAUUGCGUCACAGUCACCAAAGACCUGCCUCAUGCUUCUUCACUAGUUUCUUAUCAUCUUCACACUUUGACUAUUUUUCUUCUCUCUCGGCCGGCGUCGAUCUUCAAGUUCCUUUAUGGAAAAAAAAAGAACCAGCGCGAGAGAUGAAUCUACUUGGAAAUGUUCUUUCAGUUCUGCCUGAGUUUCUUCACCGUGGAUUCACCAGACUUUUCCUAAAUUUUCCCGGCCAUUGGAUCUCAAAACGGUCACGAUCGAACCAAGGAUUUUUUCGAGGAACAAGGAAGAUGCACACGAUGGAGGGACUGCACCAUGUCUAUCCUCUCGUCUCGAGGAGCCCCGGUCGCCUGCUCGUCGUUGCCCACCGUCCGCUACGUCGGCUCUCACUUUCUCCGGCGAGUAGUUUCAUUUCGAUUCUUCGUGUAACGAAGAACGGGUAAAAAUAAUGAUGAAGCAGAUACGAAAAAAUGAGAACGACGAUGGAGAAGGGAAGAGUAUACAUAUGCAAGGAAAAACUUCCGUAAUUGGAAAUGCGAGAAAAAGAAUAGGACGAAAAGAUCAAGUGACUAGAAACUAGAAACGCUCUAAUUGGAGAUAACCACCAAUCGUUGGUCCACAAAACGACCACGACGCUUCUGAUUAGAACAUUGCGCAUGGAACGAGUCGCGGAGACUGAAAAUACCAACGACUGGAAAAUUAAAGGUAAGAUUUCAUGUUUUAACGAGAGCAAAGGAAAUAUCGCAGAAACUUAAAUACAGUGCAACAGUUAAUCAAGAUGUAUUUGUAUUAAUAGAGAGGAAAUUCGUGUGUUUGAAUAUUUCUCAGUUAAUGUAGUUUAUGUAGUAGUUAUCGUUAUGCAGUUACGUAGUUAUAGUCAUAUAGUAUAAUUAUCAAUUAUCGUUUACAACUUAGAAACGUUUUUUAACAGUAGUUUGAGUUUUGAACAGCGGAAAAGAAAAGAAAAAUAAAGAAAAUGGAUCUAUGAAAUGUUGAAGGUUUGUCGGUCA